CCAGCUUGCUGGGUUGGAUGAGUGGCGAACGGGUGAGUAACACGUGAGUAACCUGCCCCCUUCUUUGGGAUAACGGUCGGAAACGGCUGCUAAUACCGGGUAUUCACUGUCCUUCGCAUGGGGGGUGGUGGAAAGGUUUUUUCUGGUGGGGGAUGGGCUCGCGGCCUAUCAGCUUGUUGGUGGGGUGAUGGCUUACCAAGGCUUUGACGGGUAACCGGCCUGAGAGGGUGACCGGUCACAUUGGGACUGAGAUACGGCCCAGACUCCUACGGGAGGCAGCAGUGGGGAAUAUUGCACAAUGGGCGAAAGCCUGAUGCAGCGACGCCGCGUGAGGGAUGACGGCCUUCGGGUUGUAAACCUCUUUCGCUCAUGGUCAAGCCGCAACAGUGGUUGUGGUGAGGGUAGUGGGUAAAGAAGCACCGGCUAACUACGUGCCAGCAGCCGCGGUAAUACGUAGGGUGCGAGCGUUGUCCGGAAUUAUUGGGCGUAAAGGGCUUGUAGGCGGUUUGUCGCGUCUGCCGUGAAAUCCUCUGGCUUAACUGGGGGCGUGCGGUGGGUACGGGCAGGCUUGAGUGCGGUAGGGGAGACUGGAACUCCUGGUG
rnacentral:rRNA from 1 species